AGUGAAAGGUGUUUUAUUUACAAAGUGAUACUUGAACGUGAACAGUAGAAUCGUCAACUGCAAGGAAAGAGGGGAAGGAGCACUGGUGAAAACAAGAACUAUAAUCUUUAGGAAUAAACGAGAAGUUAUUAUGUUAAUGGUAGAACGGCUUUCUAAGUGAGUGAAGUCACGUCGCCAGGGGCAGAAGAGUAGGGACCCAGGUGUGUGAAGCAGAGAAAAUCCAGAUGGUUUACUUGAGCUGUAGAGUGAGUUCUGGUGAGUUCAGGAGUUAAUUCAAUGUUCAGUUAGUUGCGUUGGAGGGUGGACAGGGUACGCUUCUGCCUUGGUUCAGGAGAUGGAGGAUAACAGGAAGCUGCCAGCUUGGAAACGAGUACAUGGAAACGAAAUCCACAUAAAAUCCACCAAACACAGAUAAUCUUGAUCAUCCAGAAACUUCUGGAACCAAAGUCAAAUUUCAACGAAGAAUUAUCAGAAGGUUCAGGUUUCUGCCUGCGAAGGAACAUAAACAAUAUCAGCUUAUUGACAAAGAACGAAGCAUAGCUUAGUAGUGGCUGAGCUUGUUACCACUGAAGGCAACCACUCUGGCAUUAAAGUGCUGGCAGCCUCCUGCUUAAAUACUCCUCCAAUGCAAUCAGCAGAUAGGUUGCACCUGUCACCCAGCACACCUGAGAAACUCCAGCACCACCUGGAAACUGAAAACAAAAUGCAGACAAAAACACAAACACACACAGAAACCAAAACCCCGAUAAUUAUACUAUCAAACUCUGUCUUACCUUUUGUUAUAGAUCAAUCUACAGUGAUAGAAAAUGGGAACAACAAAGAGAUGGUAAAUAAAAACAUAUCAUUAACAAAACAUUGGGUUACUUGUGUUUUUCAUGAUUUUACUUUUGUUCAUAUUUCUCCAUGUUUCAAGUUCUCAGCAAAGAGACGGAGUCUACAGUGUCAUCCAGUUUGUACCUGCUGCUGACUGUCCCACAGGUCCUGGGAAACCUAUCAGAGAAACGUCCCAAAAUGAUGAUUCAGAUGUUUACCACGUGUACUGCACCGUUCCUGAUUUGCCUUCUGCAUCAACAAGAAUGAUGUGAUGUACAAAUUCCUGCAAAACCAAUAAAACACAUCUUCAAUCAUAAAUGAGAGAUCAAGGGCCAUACAGAUAACGAUUCUUAUUUAUGCUGGAUGACACUGUCCAGAGGAAAAGUGUACAGUGCUGUGAAGAAGUAUAUUGUUGCUCUUAAAGUUCUUAUAAUUCAUGAGAAACUCCUCUUUUUGUUAUCAUAGUUUACUUUUCACUGUGAUAUGUGUAAAAGAGAUUGAUCAAUUAGGCGACUGGGAAAUGAUUUCCUGUCUUUAAAACUUCUGAGAGACAAACUUUACCAAUCAACUUAGAUAAUAUUCUAAGCAUUCAUUUCCAGCUGGAAAACAUUUCUCUUGAAGUUCUGUUACUUUUCAUGGUGGUUAUUUUGUUUUGGUUUUGUUUAUUGUUUAAAUUAAUUAUUAAGAGACUAGAACUUAGAUUGAUUUAUAAUUAUUGUAACCCUUGAUAACAUGCAGUUAGUUUGAUUGUAAAUAAAUCUUAUUUUUGAUAAAUAUACCAAAUCUCUCCUUUGCUUGUAUAAAAUGUGUAAUAAGACAGCUCUAUAAGUAUGAAAAAGAUUGAUCUUUCAUCUAAACCUUUCAGUAGAGACUGAUCAACUCAUGUUUAAUGAGACUAUUCAAUGUUUGAUGCAUUAACAGUUUUAUGCAUCCUUUCAGUUUGCUACUGUUACAUCACUGAUGAUGUUCUGGCCUACUUAGAGGCGACUGUGGCUCAGUAGGAAGAUAAGUUGUUUGGCAAUCAGAAGGUAGUGGGUUUGAAUCCAGCUUCCUCCUGCCCUAUGUUGAUGUGCUGCAGUGCACUUGACCUCAAGUUGCCUACCUAUCGGAGUGUGAAUGUGGCUCUAGUGUAGGGCGCUUUGAGUGAUCUGUAUGAUUGGAAAGGCGUAUAUAAGUUCAGUUCAUUUACCAUUUUACUUGAUAAGCUAAGUGCUUUGCAAUAAACAUCAGACAAUUUCAUAACUUGACUCAUUGAAAAGGAUGAAAAAGAAGUUGUUAUUAUACAAUACAGUGUAGUUUAUGGUCCCUCCUGAGAAAUUUGUGCUGGACUCAAAAGUGCUGCAUUUAACAGAUAAACAAGAAUAAACAAGAAAAAUAUGCACACGGCAAUACCUUCUAUGUUUGCCACAGCAGCAGAAUACAACAUGGACAACAUACUCUUUCUACUUAACCCAUAUUGUAGCCUGAAUAGAUGUCCUGCUCAUAUAUGGAGUGAAGGUGCUAGAGUUCAGUCAACUAUAUCACCUUCAUGGCUGUGUUAACCCAAUAAGCUAGCUUAGCCAUUAGUUGUACAUCCAGGUUCUCAUAGCAUUCAUGCUGCAAUCCCAUAUUUUGGUCAACUCUCUCUGACAGUCUGGAAAAAACAAAACAAAGCAUAAUUUCCCGAUACACACCAUAAACUCUCAGUUAGCCUGACAAAAAGAGUCUUUGCUGAAUUCGAGGACAGACACAAGGACCUUCAGGCUGAAGGUGUUGUUCAUGCUGAACAUGAGUUCCUACCAAGGACCCGAAUUUGUGUCAUAAAUGUGCACCAGACUAUAAAUCCCCAUUAAUUAUGGGUCCAAACCCAUUUGCAACAACAAAGAAACAGAAAUAAAGAGGAAAUACUAAUUUGGAAGGUCACAUGCAGCUGUUAUGUUGUGCUGUGACAAAGAAUGGGUGCACAUUUGAUGAAAAAAAAAAAAAUGUUUCCCUGAGUUUUUUGUUUAGUUUAGUCUCUCCUCAUUUUUUCCGUAUCUUAGUUUCCUCAUAGCCAUUGUAACCUAUUUCCCUCAGUUCCCUACACCUGGUCAUCACACCUGACAGUACUCACACUGAUUACCUGCCUCUCCUUCCCAUUGUCUCACUUUUCACUUCCCUCUGUAUAAAAGCUCACGGGUUUCACUUCGCCGCGUUCUGCUAUCUUCCUGGUAUGUUCCUGAUUCCAUGCCAGUCUCGUUUCUGUUUCUGUUCAGCUCUCAGUAAGUCCUGUACAUCUUGUUUAUCUUGACCUGUUUCUUCAGGUCCAUUAAGCCUGCAUUGAAAACUCUGCUCAUCAAGCCUUCCAAAUAAAUAAUGGAUCUUAACUAUACCAUAGGGCUCCCGAGUAUCUCCCUGCAUCCUGGUCCGAUCCCUCAAACACAAUUCCUGACAAUUUUAAGGCCAUGUAUGUA